rnacentral:rRNA from 1 species
UAGGGAAUCUUCGGCAAUGGGGGCAACCCUGACCGAGCAACGCCGCGUGAGUGAAGAAGGUUUUCGGAUCGUAAAGCUCUGUUGUAAGAGAAGAACGAGUGUGAGAGUGGAAAGUUCACACAGUGACGGUAACUUACCAGAAAGGGACGGCUAACUACGUGCCAGCAGCCGCGGUAAUACGUAGGUCCCGAGCGUUGUCCGGAUUUAUUGGGCGUAAAGCGAGCGCAGGCGGUUUAAUAAGUCUGAAGUUAAAGGCAGUGGCUUAACCAUUGUUCGCUUUGGAAACUGUUAAACUUGAGUGCAGAAGGGGAGAGUGGAAUUCCAUGUGUAGCGGAGAAAUGCGUAGAUAUAUGGAGGAACACCGGUGGCGAAAGCGGCUCUCUGGUCUGUAACUGACGCUGAGGCUCGAAAGCGUGGGGAGCAAACAGG